UACGUAGGGGGCAAGCGUUGUUCGGAAUUACUGGGCGUAAAGGGCUCGUAGGCGGCCAACUAAGUCGGACGUGAAAUCCCCGGGCUCAACCUGGGAACUGCAUUUGUGACUGCAUCGCUGGAGUGCGGCAGAGGGGGAUGGAAUUCCGCGUGUAGCAGUGAAGUGCGUAGAUAUGCGGAGGAACACCGAUGGCGAAGGCAAUCCCCUGGGCCUGCACUGACGCUCAUGCACGAAAGCGUGGGGAGCAAACAGG
rnacentral:rRNA from 1 species